AUUGAACGCUAGCGGGAUGCUUUACACAUGCAAGUCGAACGAGUGGCGGACGGGUGAGUAAUAUAUCGGAACGUGCCCAGUAGCGGGGGAUAACUAAUCGGAAGAGUGGCUAAUACAGCAGACUAUUGGCGCGGACGAUAUCGGAUUAGCUAGUUGGUGGGGUAAAGGCUCACAAGGGCAACGAUCCGUAGCUGGUUUGAGCGGACGACCAGCCACACUGGGACGGAGACACGGCCCAGACUCCUACGGGAGUCAGCAGUGGGUAAUUUUGGACAAUGGGGGAUACCCUGAUCCAGCCAUCCCGCUUGUAUGAGAAGGCCUUCGGGUUUUAAAGUACUUUUGGCAUAGAAGCGGUAUCUGCAGAAUAAGCACCUGCUAACUACGUGCCAGCAGCCGCGGUAAUUC
rnacentral:rRNA from 1 species